UACGUAGGGUGCAAGCGUUGUCCGGAAUUAUUGGGCGUAAAGAGCUCGUAGGCGGUUGUCGCGUCUGGCUGUGAAAACUCGGGGCUUAACCCCGGGCCUGCAGUGGGUACGGGCAGACUAGAGUGCGGUAGGGGAGACUGGAAUUCCUGGUGUAGCGGUGAAAUGCGCAGAUAUCAGGAGGAACACCGAUGGCGAAGGCAGGUCUCUGGGCCACUACUGACGCUGAGGCGCGAAAGCGUGGGGAGCAAACAGG
rnacentral:rRNA from 1 species